AGUGAACGCUGGCGGUAGGCCUAACACAUGCAAGUCGAACGGCAGCACAGUAAGAGCUUGCUCUUACGGGUGGCGAGUGGCGGACGGGUGAGGAAUACAUCGGAAUCUACUUUUUCGUGGGGGAUAACGUAGGGAAACUUACGCUAAUACCGCAUACGACCUACGGGUGAAAGCAGGGGAUCUUCGUACCUUGCGCGAUUGAAUGAGCCGAUGUCGGAUUAGCUAGUUGGCGGGGUAAAGGCCCACCAAGGCGACGAUCCGUAGCUGGUCUGAGAGGAUGAUCAGCCAGACUGGAACUGAGACACGGUCCAGACUCCUACGGGAGGCAGCAGUGGGGAAUAUUGGACAAUGGGGGCAAGCCUGAUCCAGCCAUACCGCGUGGGUGAAGAAGGCCUUCGGGUUGUAAAGCCCUUUUGUUGGGAAAGAAAAGCAGCAGGUUAAUACCCCGCUGUUCUGACGGUACCCAAAGAAUAAGCACCGGCUAACUUCGUG
rnacentral:rRNA from 1 species